AUGUCGGUCAAUACUAACACCACAAUAUGUCUUACGACGAAAGUAUUUAAUGCAUUCAUUCUAGAGAAUAACAAUGUCCGAUCAAAGACCUCCACAUCUUCAAAAUCCUUAACCGUGCAAAAACACAUAUCACAAACCCUUAUCUCGCAAAACAAGAGACAAGAGUUUGAGAAGAACUGUUUUAUGCAUCCGCGGGGCCAAAGAUACAAACUCCAAUAA